rnacentral:rRNA from 1 species
GUGAGUCAUCGAGUCUUUGAACGCACCUUGCGCUCUCUGGUAUUCCGGAGAGCAUGCCUGUUUGAGUGUCAUGAACUCUUCAACCCACCUAUUUCUUGUAAAUUGUUGUUGGUGUUUGGUAUUUUGAAUUGUCUUGCUGGCCUUUUCGGCUGAAGCUCAUUCGUAAUGCAUUAGCAUCUCAAAUUCGUUUUUCGGAUUGACUCAGCGUGAUAGACUUUCUUCGCUGAGGACAUUAGUUUUUCUAAUGGCCGAUUUUCGUAAAGUAGAAGCUUCUAAUCAAGUAAACUUUUGAUUUAGACCUCAAAUCAGGUAGGAUUACCCGCUGAACUUAAGCAUAUCAAUAAGCGGGGG